GGGGGGAGCGCUGGAUCUUGGGCUGUGUCCCAUAGCGCCCUAGGCUCAGGGGCCUGCACUGCUGGAAUCAUACUCCCAGGACUGCACAGCCCCCU
rnacentral:pre_miRNA from 1 species